CUGAGGAUGUACACGUAUCAAGGACUUAUUCCCUCAGCUUAUUCUCAUCCAUUUCUUCCUCUCUUUCUCUCUCAGUCAAGAAACAACUUAGGGAAAAUUGGUGGAGUGCUGAAAUCCUUGUUGUUGGCAGCCUGGAUGUUUCGAGCUUGAGAGGGAGCUGCAGAGCAGGGAUAUAAGGUUGAUGGAGUUGAGAACAUCUGGUCGAAUGCCUAAUUUAAGGAAAUGGAUUUUGGGCCAUUUGAUGCAGCGAGCAAAAAUUCAGCAGGGAAAUUUCAGUAUUUGAGCAAAGAGAGCAGCUAAAGAACCUUGUUUCUGCUGCUAGAGCUGAACCAAACCUCAGUGAAGAGAGGAAUUGAGAAGUAUUGUUGAAAUUGCUGCUUCAAGGUAAGGAAAUUGCUCAAAUUCUGAUUAUGAAUCAAUUAGUUAUCCUAUUAAGAGGCUAAUUUGGGUGAGGCAUGAUUAUUGAGCUGAUGGUAACCCAAAAUCAGCCUUGUAGGUUGA